rfam:Poecilia formosa, whole genome shotgun sequence.
ACAACGGCUCUUUUAAGAGCCAAAACACACACACCUACUGAGCAAAG